rnacentral:rRNA from 1 species
CCCCUACGGGAGGCAGCAGUGGGGAAUAUUGCACAAUGGGCGCAAGCCUGAUGCAGCAACGCCGCGUGAAGGAUGAAGGCCUUCGGGUUGUAAACUUCUGUCCUAGGGGAAGAAGCGCCGGCUAACUACGUGCCAGCAGCCGCGGUAAUGGGG